rnacentral:rRNA from 1 species
AACCAGCACCUCAAGUGGUCAGGAUGAUUAUUGGGCCUAAAGCAUCCGUAGCCGGCUCUGUAAGUUUUCGGUUAAAUCUGUACGCUCAACGUACAGGCUGCUGGGAAUACUGCAGAGCUAGGGAGUGGGAGAGGUAGACGGUACUCGGGAGGAAGUGGUAAAAUGCUUUGAUCUCUCGAUGACCACCUGUGGCGAAGGCGGUCUACCAGAACACGUCCGACGGUGAGGGAUGAAAGCUGGGGGAGCAAACCGGAUUAGAUACCCGGGUAGUCCCAGCUGUAAACUAUGCAAACUCAGUGAUGCACUGGCUUGUGGCCAGUGCAGUGUUGCAGGGAAGCCGUUAAGUUUGCCGCCUGGGAAGUACGUACGCAAGUAUGAAACUUAAAGGAAUUGGCGGGGGAGCACCACAAGGGGUGAAGCCUGCGGUUCAAUUGGAGUCAACGCCAGAAAUCUUACCCGGAGAGACAGCAGAAUGAAGGUCAAGCUGAAGACUUUACCAGACAAGCUGAGAGGUGGUGCAUGGCCGUCGCCAGCUCGUGCCGUGAGAUGUCCUGUUAAGUCAGGUAACGAGCGAGAUCCCUGCCUCUAGUUACCACCAUUACUCUCAGGAGUAGUGGGGCGAAUUAGCGGGACCGCCGCAGUUAAUGCGGAGGAAGGAAGGGGCCACGGCAGGUCAGUAUGCCCCGAAACUCUGGGGCCACACGCGGGCUGCAAUGGUAACGACAAUGUGUUCCGAAUCCGAAAGGAAGAGGUAAUCCUCAAACGUUACCACAGUUAUGACUGAGGGCUGCAACUCGCCCUCACGAAUAUGGAAUCCCUAGUAACUGCGUGUCAUUAUCGCGCGGUGAAUACGUCCCUGCUCCU